rnacentral:rRNA from 1 species
CUCGAGGCCAGAUCUAGAGUUUGAUCCUGGCUGAGAACGAACGCUGGCGGCAGGCCUAACACAUGCAAGUCGAGCGAUGAAGCUGCUUCGGCAGUGGAUUAGCGGCGGACGGGUGAGUAACGCGUGGGAACGUGGCCCAAGGUACGGAAUAGCCUCUGGAAACGGAGAGUAAUACCGUAUGUGCCCUUCGGGGGAAAGAUUCAUCGCCUUGGGAUCGGCCCGCGUCGGAUUAGGUAGUUGGUGGGGUAAUGGCCCACCAAGCCGACGAUCCGUAGCUGGUUUGAGAGGAUGAUCAGCCACACUGGGACUGAGACACGGCCCAGACUCCUACGGGAGGCAGCAGUGGGGAAUCUUGGACAAUGGGGGCAACCCCGAUCCAGCCAUGCCGCGUGAGCGAUGAAGGCCCUAGGGUUGUAAAGCUCUUUCACCGGUGACGAUAAUGACGGUAGCCGGAGAAGAAGCCCCGGCUAACUCCGUGCCAGCAGCCGCGGUAAUACGGAGGGGGCUAGCGUUGUUCGGAAUUACUGGGCGUAAA